rnacentral:rRNA from 1 species
CCGGGUGUGUGAAGAGGGGUCUUCGGAAUUGUAAAGUUACUUUUGGCAGGGACGAUGAUGACGGUACCUGCAGAAUAAGCCCCGGCUAACUUCGUGC